UGUGAGAGUGAUGAGUUGCACUGAUCAGUCAGGGUGUCUGCUGCAGUGGUAUCAGCACUCUGACCUGACUCUACCUGAGGACACACCGCGUGCACAGGGGCCAUCUGACUCUAU